rnacentral:rRNA from 1 species
UGGACGCAAGUCUGAUGGAGCAACGCCGCGUGAGUGAAGAUGGGUUUCGGCUCGUAAAGCUCUGUUGGUAGUGAAGAAAGAUAGAGGUAGUAACUGGCCUUUAUUUGACGGUAAUUACUUAGAAAGUCGCGGCUAACUACGUGCCAGCAGCCGCGGUAAUACGUAGGUGGCAAGCGUUGUCCGGAUUUAUUGGGCGUAAAGCGAGUGCAGGCGGUUCAAUAAGUCUGAUGUGAAAGCCUUCGGCUCAACCGGAGAAUUGCAUCAGAAACUGUUGAACUUGAGUGCAGAAGAGGAGAGUGGAACUCCAUGUGUAGCGGUGGAAUGCGUAGAUAUAUGGAAGAACACCAGUGGCGAAGGCGGCUCUCUGGUCUGCAACUGACGCUGAGGCUCGAAAGCAUGAGUAGCGAACAGGAUUAGAUACCCUGGUAGUCCAUGCCGUAAACGAUGAGUGCUAAGUGUUGGGAAGUUUCCGCCUCUCAGUGCUGCAGCUAACGCAUUAAGCACUCCGCCUGGGGGAGUACGACCGCAAGGUUGAAACUCAAAGGAAUUGACGGGGGCCCGCACAAGCGGUGGAG